CUUGGUCAUUUAGAGGAAGUAAAAGUCGUAACAAGGUUUCCGUAGGUGAACCUGCGGAAGGAUCAUUAAAAAAAAGAGAAACGUCCCGUUUUUUUCAUAAGAAUGGGUUCUAUUCCCUUAAACCGUGUCUACAUACCUUUGUUGCUUUGGCAGGCCGCCUUUGGGCGUCGGCUCCGGCUGAUAGUGCCUGCCAGAGGACCCAAACUCUAUGUUUAGUGAUGUCUGAGUACUAUAUAAUAUUUAAAACUUUCAACAACGGAUCUCUUGGUUCUGGCAUCGAUGAAGAACGCAGCGAAAUGCGAUAAGUAAUGUGAAUUGCAGAAUUCAGUGAAUCAUCGAAUCUUUGAACGCACAUUGCGCCCUCUGGUAUUCCGGGGGGCAUGCCUGUUCGAGCGUCAUUACAACCCUCAAGCUCUGCUUGGUAUUGGGCGUCACCCUCUGGGGUGCGCCUUAAAAUCAGUGGCGGUGCCACUCGGCUUCAAGCGUAGUAAUUCUUCUCGCUCUGGAGGACCGGGUGUGUGCUAGCCAGCAACCCCCAAUUUUUUAAGGUUGACCUCGGAUCAGGUAGGGAUACCCGCUGAACUUAAGCAUAUCAAUAAGCGGAGGAAAAGAAACCAACAGGGAUUGCCUCAGUAACGGCGAGUGAAGCGGCAAUAGCUCAAAUUUGAAAUCUGGCCUCACGGUCCGAGUUGUAAUUUGUAGAGGAUGUUUCGAGCGUGGUCCAGUCUAAGUUCCUUGGAACAGGACGUCAUAGAGGGUGAGAAUCCCGUAUGUGACUGGGUGCCUAAGCUCAUGUGAAACUCCUUCGACGAGUCGAGUUGUUUGGGAAUGCAGCUCAAAAUGGGUGGUAAAUUUCAUCUAAAGCUAAAUACUGGCCAGAGACCGAUAGCGCACAAGUAGAGUGAUCGAAAGAUGAAAAGCACUUUGGAAAGAGAGUUAAACAGUACGUGAAAUUGUUGAAAGGGAAGCGCUUGCAACCAGACUUGCACGUAGUCGAUCAUCCGAUGUUCUCACCGGUGCACUCGAUUGCGUUCAGGCCAGCAUCGGUUUUGGUGGUUGGAUAAAGGCUGUGGGAAUGUAGCUUCUUUCGGGGAGUGUUAUAGCCCGCGGUGUAAUGCAGCCUACUGGGACCGAGGACCGCGCUUCGGCUAGGAUGCUGGCGUAAUGGUUGUAAGCGACCCGUCUUGAAACACGGACC
rnacentral:rRNA from 1 species